UUCCCUUUUUUGUACUAGCCAGGGACAGCUCAGAGCUCAGAAUAAGGCCUGCGCGAUAGGACGUGGCUGGAGGAUAAGAAGGGCAGUGGUGGGUUUUUUCCUCCGAUUUUUCUUUCAUAGUUUGUAUGUGUGUGGUCAGUUGUUGCCAUUGCGGCUGUUUUAUCCAUUUGUUUCUGCCAUGGACACCUUGAUGUGAUGAUUGACACCCAGGGGGUUGAAGCAGUGGCAUCAUACGACGGUCUUCAUUGCGAUGAGGGCUUGCACAUUAGCAUUGCCUAAAGCUCCGGAAACAGAGUUGGACCGAAUCUCCUGAGUGAUGGCUGGAUCUGUAUGCUGACCAGUGAACAAUAUAAAGCAUAAGUAUGAGUUUAACAUGUGCACGCUGUGUGUGUGUGUGUCCUGGGUGUCUUGGCGGGGUGUGUGCUUAUUCGUCUGAGUGCGGCUGUUGGAGACUGCGAGCACGCGCGGGACUGCCGGGUAGGAUGGGGGUGUCUACUCAGCUCUGCACCAUUCCCUCCCUCUGCAGAGCGCUGUGUUUCUGGGCCAGUUUCCACUGCAGUCGCUGUUCAGCGGCCCGGGCCUCUGCCGCAGCACCCAGACCCCCUACUCACACCCACACUUCACUCCUGCCUCUUCCUCACUCACUCGUUCUUUCUACCAAAAGAUGUUGUUCACCCUCCUCCCCCCUCUCUCCCUUUUCACUUUACAUGUCAUUCUCUAGCUGGUUUCCCACAUUCAUCUCUCUCUCUCUGUCUCUCUCUCUCUCUGUCUCUCUCUCUCUGUCUCUCUCUCUCUCUGUCUCUCUCUCUCUCUGUCUCUCUGCCCCCCCCCCCUGUGUUUUUGCACUUUAAUGGUGGAGUGGUGUUAUCCCCCCUCCCCUCUCUAGGUGUCUUCUGGAGGCACUGCAGUACAGCACCUGUUCAGACGGGAGGGGGAAGGAGGGACAUCCCAUAAUAUAAACAUGACCCGCCCCACCCCAUAGGCACAUGCUGUACGUCACACACAGAGCACAAACACACACACACACACAGAGAGCGUGCGCACACACACAAAGAGCACGUGUAUUUGCAGACUCAGCAGUCAUCCAUGCAGGCUGGUGCUCACUGGUGCUAUGUCAAUGUCCUUCUAGCCUAUACCUCCCCUUGUAUACUCACGAUGGGUAUGUACAGUUCAUCUUUACGGAAACGGUUAGGAGGGGGGACCAUCAAACCUUUUAAUAUCCACACCCAAUCAGCUAAUCCAUUCCAUGCUUACUCAUCUGCCAUGUCUUAAUUGAACUUCACAUUCACCAGGGUAACGGGAGUGGAAUUUCCUGUGGAGAUUCCUGCACAACUGACCUGACUAGGAUCUGACUCUAAGACAUUGAGAUGACCGUUAAGAAUUUUUCCAGCAAGGAAAUGAGGGACUUCUUUGCUGCCGUUUGCCACUGCUCAUUCAAGAAGAGGCAGUCACGUCUUAGUAAAGCAAAGAUAAGUCGCCGAGCCUUCCAAUGACCAAUAGCAUUUCUGCAUUUUAGAAUGCUGAGCUCCACAGGACAUACAGUAAUCAGGAUGCCAUCCUAGCUAUUGACCAAGGUCUUCACACACAUGUAUUGAACUAUAACACUAUAGCCUUCUGACAGACAUAAUCCUAUCCUAUCAUACAAUAUGAAAUGGAAGUAAGCCAAAUGGCCCUGCAUUGCAAUGCACCACUUCUGCUAUUACACAGCGAAACACUGCACUGUCUCCCUCCCUCCCUUCGUCCUCCUCCUCCGUCGGCACACCCCAUACCUCCCUGCUCUCCUCCGUCAGCUCCUUUCUCCGAAGGCUCAAGGUCAUCGUAAAGGAGAAGGCAACGGCAAGGUACUCUGCAGCGCCGAGGAAAUACAUUCUUUCAGAUUGUUAUAGGAUUACUGUUUGGGAAGACCACCUUAGAGAGCCCGCUUAAACACAUGGUCGCAACCGCACACACACGCAGACACACGUAUGCAUUUGCACAGGCAGAGACAGCUCUCCAUCAGAUGUCAUUUUCACUUUUAACCCAGGCACUCUGGUAUAAAACGUUACUGUAUGUGUGCGUAACACAUGUGUACACACACGUUUGUCUUACUGUCGUUGUGAGGACCUGAACCUAAAAUCCAUAUUCCAUUUUGCCUAGCCCUAAAACUAACCGUAAAUCUAAACUGAACCUCAAUAACCUAACUUAUAUGCUGAAACUCAACCUAGGCUUAAUGCCUAACCCUAAACGGUAAUGAAUAAAUUCAAAUGUAUCCCCAGUUUUUCCCUAAACCCAAACCUUAAGUUGAAAACCUAAUUGACCCUAGUGGGAAACUGCCUAAAAACUUUAAAUCCUUUUUAUUCCCAAAACAUUUAUUCAUUUUCUCAGACCAAUGCCUGUUUCUUACUUUCACAAAUUAAUUCUCUAACAACCGGAAAUAUCAGUUCUACCCUGGACCAAGCCUGUUUUCACAUUCUCAUCUCCAUGUCCCCUGCUCUAGCAGUGGCACAGACAUCACCUCGCCCCUAUGUUGUCUCCAUGCGUCACCCUGCAGGUGGAUGGUUCAGGCCCAGCAGGCAGGGUUAGACACAGAGGGCAUAUGCUGACUGAUUGAUGGAUUGAUCUAAGGGGUUGAUGGACAGGUUGUCUAAUAGAUCUUGACCCCACUGGCCUUCCAAGUCCAUCUAGUGAUCAAUAGCUUUGACUAAAGUUGAUUGCAAAUGCCUUUAGCCUUAUGUGUGUAUGUGUGUGUGUGUGUGUGUGAGAGAGAGAAAGAGAAUGUGUGUGUGUGUGUGUGUGUGGCUGUGGGCACUGGCUCAUCAAACGUAUUGCCUAUUGAUUUUAGGAAGUGAGUAUAACAUCAAUAGGGAGGCCAAUUUAAAUAAUCCUGUUAGAUUUGGCUUAGUAGAGGCUACAGUUUUCAAGAGCAAUCCACUCACUUCUAGUCUAAGAGUUGAACCAGAAAUAAUGUGGUAUUAUGUUGAUCACUAUAAGAAUCUGAUCAAGUCAAUGUAGGUUAUCUUCUUAAAAACACAAUCAGCUUUCUGUUUUUCACUCCUUUAACCUGCAUAUCUUGUCAGUGUCUCCAAUCAGUACCUUCAUUGAAAUCAUCAGUAGAUUUUGCCACCCCAAAGAUGUCAAAUAUGUGAAAUGAUGUCCUCUCGUCCAUAAAUGGUUGGUAAACUUUACAUUAAAGCACUAAACAAUUCCUUCUACGAAAGCCGCUACUCCUACCACUUUUUCAUCCCAUUCAAAAAGAGCAGUUUCUUUACGGUACCACCCUGAGAAUGAAAACUAGUGAUCUCUCAUAUGAAACCAAUACAGCCCGCUCCGCGCUAAUCUGCUGCAUAGCCACAGAACCCAACAAUAGACUGUGUUUUGGGCUAUAGACUGGAUGUGGAAUAGACUGCGCCCUAGUGGUUUAAAUAAGACAGUGCAUGGAUGGACCCAAUACCGAAUGAUGAAAGAAUUUACAGCUCGGUCAGGGUGAAACAGAGCAUUUUUAAUAUGAAUAUUUUGAAAUAUGAGCCUAAUGAUCACCAACAUUUAUAUACCAAACUAGGAUAACAUGUUAGCAUGUCCCAUUGUGUGUGGAUAGCAUAUGAUAGCUGUUCCCUAUACUCCCUGCAAACAGCACUAUUAAUGAAUAAAAAGAGCGCUCUCGUACCAACUACACUUCAAAAACGGACAAAAACGUUUUUGAAUUUAAUGUUACGAAGACAAAUCAUUCAGAAACCCCAUGAGUUGUACUUUUUUCAAAACUUUUUUUUUUAAUUACCUUCAUAAUAACAGGUGCCUCAGGUUGUAAUAACUGACAAUACUACAACUUAACAGGACAAUAUUAACCUGGAUUGGUCAUCUCCUUUUUUUGCAAAUAAAAAAAAAAAGAAGAAAAGUGUCUUCUAAAAUUUUAUUGACCAGUUGCAAGUGGUAAAGAACAAGGCAAAGAACAUAAAAUAGCCAGUUAUUGCAUCAUGCAAGGAGAUCACUUGUUGGUGGCAUCUGAUGUGUCGGUUUCACAGAGAGUGACCCAAUGCUGAUAAUCUCUGCAAUAUAUAUUGAUGAGGUCUAAAUGUGGUCUAAAUAGGACAUGUACUCAUAAUUCCAACCUCUGAUCACAGCAAAAAUGGGACUGGCCGCCCCUCAGAGUCCAUCUCCUCUCUAGGCUUCUUCCUAGGUUCUGAUUUUCUAUAGCGAGUUGUUCCUAGCCACUGUACUUCUGAAUCGUAUUGCUUGUUCAUUGAGGUUUGGAAAUCUGUAUAUUCAGUUUGUAACACUGCUGACAUUAAAAUGCCUUUAUACAAACAUUUUAACGUUUACAGAGGCCAUAAAACAACAUUGUUUUUUGCAAUUAUUAUUACUAUUAUGCAUAGUUGAUAUGGCCUCAUGAUUAUGUGGGUCCUAAAGCAAUCGUUUUAAGUAGUCGGUUCAAUUACUACAUCAAGCUUGUGACUGUAACCACGUAUUAUAUUUGCUGUUUUUUUGUGAUGUUUCAGAUUAUUUUGUGCAAAAUAGAACCGUUUUUUUUAUUAUUAUAUUCGGAGUGAAUAUGGACUGGAGUAACAGGGAGGUGGAACAUGGUUUAUGGUGGCCAAAAAAACGUAAUUAUGUUGUUUGCGGCACAAGUUUUUCAGUUUUCCCAAUGCAUGCCAUAUUGUGUGUAUAACACUGUCUCCCUCUGGUGUAAAAGUCUACGAGUUGCAGCAGUGAUAUAAAUAGGUAGACCUACUUCUGGGCACAAAAUGAAUUGGCACAGAUUCAUAUGAUUACCAAAUUAAGCACAGAAAAUAUGUUACAUAUAGUA